CCUACGGGCGGCAGCAGUGAGGAAUAUUGGUCAAUGGUCGGGAGACUGAACCAGCCAAGCCGCGUGAGGGAGGAAGGUACAGAGUAUCGUAAACCUCUUUUGUCAGGGAACAAAGGCGGGGACGUGUCCCCGGAUGAGUGUACCUGCAGAAAACGCAUCGGCUAACUCCGUGCCAGCAGCCGCGGUAAUCCGGAGGAUGCGAGCGUUAUCCGGGUUUAAUGGGUUUAAAGGGUGCGGAGGCGGUCUGUUAAGUCAGCGGUCAAAGCCCGGGGCUCAACCCCGGGCCGGCGGUUGAAACUGGCAGUCUCGAGUGGGAGAGAAGUAUGCGGAAUGCGCGGUGUAGCGGUGAAAUGCAUAGAUAUCGCGAAGAACUCCGAUUGCGAAGGCAGCAUGCCGGCUCCACACUGACGCUGAGGCACGAAAGCGUGGGUAUCGAACAGGAUUAGAUACCCCAGUAGUC
rnacentral:rRNA from 1 species